rnacentral:tRNA from 3 species
GGGCCGGUGGUGGAAUUGGUAGACACGCUAGAUUUAGGUUCUAGUGCCGAGAGGUGUGAAGGUUCAAGUCCUUUCCGGCCUACCA